rnacentral:rRNA from 1 species
CCUAGGGAGGCAGCAGUGGGGAAUAUUGCACAAUGGGCGCAAGCCUGAUGCAGCCAUGCCGCGUGUAUGAAGAAGGCCUUCGGGUUGUAAAGUACUUUCAGCGAGGAGGAAGGUGUUGAGGUUAAUAACCUCAGCAAUUGACGUUACUCGCAGAAGAAGCACCGGCUAACUCCGUGCCAGCAGCCGCGGUAA